rnacentral:rRNA from 1 species
AGAGUUUGAUCCUGGCUCAGGACGAACGCUGGCGGCGUGCCUAAUACAUGCAAGUCGAGCGGGUCGCCUCGGGGCUUGCCCCGGGGAGGCCAGCGGCGGACGGGUGAGUAACGCGUGGGCAACCUGUCCGGCAGACCGGGACAACGCCUGGAAACGGGCGCUAAUUCCGGAUAGGCGCAAAGGGCGCAUGCUUUUUGCGGGAAAGGGGAAACCCGCUGUCGGGUGGGCCCGCGUCGCAUUAGCUGGUUGGUGGGGUAACGGCCCACCAAGGCGACGAUGCGUAGCCGGCCUGAGAGGGUGGGCGGCCACACUGGGACUGAGACACGGCCCAGACUCCUACGGGAGGCAGCAGUAGGGAAUCUUCCGCAAUGGGCGAAAGCCUGACGGAGCGACGCCGCGUGAGGGAAGAAGGCCUUCGGGUUGUAAACCUCUGGCUCUGGGGACGAGGGCACGGGCGAGCGUUGUCCGGAAUCACUGGGCGUAAAGGGCGCGCAGGCGGCGAUGCACGUCCGAGGUGAAAGGCAGCGGCUCAACCGCUGAGGGGCCUCGGAUACGGCAUGGCUUGAGGGUCGGAGAGGCAAGGGGAAUUCCUGGUGUAGCGGUGAAAUGCGUAGAGAUCAGGAGGAAUACCGGUGGCGAAGGCGCCUUGCUGGACGACACCUGACGCUGAGGCGCGAAAGCGUGGGGAGCGAACAGGAUUAGAUACCCUGGUAGUCCACGCCGUAAACGAUGAGUGCUAGGUGUGGGUGGGGAUGCCCAUCCGUGCCGAAGGAAACCCAAUAAGCACUCCGCCUGGGGAGUACGGCCGCAAGGCUGAAACUCAAAGGAAUUGACGGGGGCCCGCACAAGCGGUGGAGCAUGUGGUUUAAUUCGAAGCAACGCGAAGAACCUUACCAGGGCUUGACAUCCCUCUGACACCUUCAGAGAUGAGGGGUUUCCUUCGGGGACAGAGGAGACAGGUGGUGCAUGGUUGUCGUCAGCUCGUGUCGUGAGAUGUUGGGUUAAGUCCCGCAACGAGCGCAACCCUUGCUCUGUGUUGCCAGCACGAGAGGUGGGCACUCACAGGGGACUGCCGGCGAGGAGCCGGAGGAAGGCGGGGAUGACGUCAAAUCAUCAUGCCCCAUAUGUCCUGGGCUACACACGUGCUACAAUGGGCGGUACAACGGGGAGCGAAGGGGCGACCUGGAGCGAAUCCCUGAAAGCCGUUCGUAGUUCGGAUUGCAGGCUGCAACUCGCCUGCAUGAAGGCGGAAUCGCUAGUAAUCGCGGAUCAGCAUGCCGCGGUGAAUCCGUUCCCGGGCCUUGUACACACCGCCCGUCACACCACGAGAGUCGGCAACACCCGAAGUCGGUGGGGCAACCGACCGAGAGGGCGGAGCCAGCCGCCGAAGGUGGGGUCGAUGAUUGGGGUGAAGUCGUAACAAGGUAGCCGUAUCGGAAGGUGCGGCUGGAUCACCU